rnacentral:rRNA from 1 species
CUGCCUUGUGGAUGGGAAUAACAACGGGAAACCGGUGCUAAGUCCCAAUGUGCCGAGAGGUGAAAGGAGAAAUCUGCCAUAAGAGGAGCUCGCGUCCGAUUAGCUAGUUGGAGGAGUAAGAGCCCCCCAAGGCGACGAUCGGUAGCUGGUCUGAGAGGACGAGCAGCCACACUGGGACUGAGAAACGGCCCAGACUCCUACGGGAGGCAGCAGUGGGGAAUUUUCCGCAAUGGGCGAAAGCCUGACGGAGCAAGACCGCGUGUGGGAAGAAGGCCUUUGGGUCGUAAACCACUUUAAUCAGGGAAGAAGUCAGUGACGGUACCUGAAGAAAAAGCCUCGGCUAACUCCGUGCCAGCAGCCGCGGUAAUACGGAGGAGGCAAGCGUUAUCCGGAAUCAUUGGGCGUAAAGAGUCCGUUAGGUGGCCUCUGAAGUCUGCUGUCAAAGCCUUGGGCUAUACCGAAGAGAGGCAGUGCAAACUAGCAAGCUAGAGUGCGGUAGGGGUAGAGUGAAUUCCUGGUGUAGCGGUGAAAUGCGUAGAGAUCGCGAAGAACACCAGUGGCGAAUGUGCUCUACUGGGCCUGCACUGAUACUCCGGGACGAGUAGCUUCGACUGCGAAUGGGAUUAGA